UCGGAAAUUCAUUUACAAAAUAAGAUGUGAUGCAUUUCUGCAAGCAGAGAAACGAUGAGCAGAUGUGUGAUUAAAUUUGUUUUUUCCACUACGAAUCUGACUAUUUGGAUAAAAGAUUAUAGGUAGAAGAUGUAAAUAUUAUGUUAUAAAACAUAACUAUAUAUCUGGGACUCUUUAAAUAGUUUUUCAAGCAGAUAAAUGUGUUCCACUGUGCGGUAUAAUCUAAAGUUAACUGCGCCUCAAUAAGAAAAGCUGCAAAGGUGAUAAUCGCGAGGAAAUGAGUCAUUGAUAAGAAAGAAACGAAGAAUUGUUUUCAAUGUAAUGUACGAUUGAAUUCUAAUAUAGAGCAGCAGUUUCAUCAAUGCGUUAUUCGCAUGAUCUUCCUUGUGGGUAUUAUUGAAAUCUCGAUAAUCAAGGUAUAACGAUGAAAAGAAAAAAAAGACAUAUAAAAAAUGGAUCGUACCUUUAUUAUAAUUUCUUGCGAAAUUCGCCUCCAGUUGCUAUAUUUUGAUUUGUUAUCGAAAUAAUCGUGCGUAGCUUCCACAAUGAGAGAAGCUAAUAAAAAAAAAAUCUCCAACGUAGCUUACACGUUUCAUUAUU